UUCCGCCCAAACGCCGGCAAACUCCGAUUACGAAAACUCUGAUACUUUCAUCUCGACUUGGAUCAAAACAUACACGAUCUAACUGAUUAAUUAUUUUUAUUUAUUUUUAAUUUAUGAUAUUCGAAUAUGUUAUCCUAUUAAACAUCGAAAUUUUUUAAAGAACAAAAAUUAAGCUCCUAUCUUCUAAUAAUUAAAAAAA
rnacentral:lncRNA from 1 species